GCGGGAUUGGUUUAGUGGUAAAACGCGACCUUCCCAAGGUUGAGUCGCCAGUUCGAUUCUGGUAUCCCGCU
rnacentral:tRNA from 1 species